CCUACGGGUGGCAGCAGUGAGGAAUAUUGGUCAAUGGACGCAAGUCUGAACCAGCCAUGCCGCGUGCAGGAAGACGGCUCUAUGAGUUGUAAACUGCUUUUGUACGAGGGUAAACUCAGACACGCGUAUCUGUCUGAAAGUACCGUAUGAAUAAGGAUCGGCUAACUCCGUGCCAGCAGCCGCGGUAAUACGGAGGAUUCAAGCGUUAUCCGGAUUUAUUGGGUUUAAAGGGUGCGUAGGCGGUCGGAUAAGUUAGAGGUGAAAUUCCGAGGCUCAACCUCAGAAUUGCCUCUGAUACUGUUCGGCUAGAGAAUAGUUGCGGUAGGCGGAAUGCAUGGUGUAGCGGUGAAAUGCUUAGAGAUCAUACAGAACACCGAUUGCGAAGGCAGCUUACCAAGCUACUUCUGACAUUGAGGCACGAAAGCGUGGGGAGCAAACAGGAUUAGAUACCCUUGUAGUC
rnacentral:rRNA from 1 species